CGGGUAGGAGUAACGCGUGAGGAACCUGCCUCAAAGAGGGGACGAACAGUUGGAAACGACUGCUAAUACCGCAUAAGCCCACGGCUCGGCAUCGAGCAGAGGGAAAAGGAGCAAUCCGCUUUGAGAUGGCCUCGCGUCCGAUUAGCUAGUUGGUGAGGUAACGGCCCACCAAGGCGACGAUCGGUAGCCGGACUGAGAGGUUGAACGGCCACAUUGGGACUGAGACACGGCCCAG
rnacentral:rRNA from 1 species